rnacentral:lncRNA from 1 species
UGCACUGGGGCAUCCGUGUCUCUUCUUAUCACAUGCUCAAAUCAUCUCAACUUCGCUUUCCGCAUCUUGUUUUCUACCGAAGCCACUCUCAUCUUUACUCGGAUAUCCUUAUUUUCAUUCCUAUCUCUCCUAGUAUGCCUACACAUUCAUCACAACAUCCUCAUCUCUGCUACUUUCAUAUUUUGAUCGUGUUCCAUUAACUGGCCAACACUUCGCCCCAUAAAAC